AACAGGAUUAGAUACCCUGGUAGUCCACGCCCUAAACGAUGUCUACUAGUUGUUGGUGGAGUAAAAUCCAUGAGUAACGCAGCUAACGCGUGAAGUAGACCGCCUGGGGAGUACGGUCGCAAGAUUAAAAUUCAAAUGAAUUGACGGGGGCCCGCACAAGCGGUGGAUUAUGUGGAUUAAUUCGAUGCAACGCGAAAAACCUUACCUGGCCUUGACAUGUAACGAACUUUCCAGAGAUGGAUUGGUGCUCGAAAGAGAACGUUAACACAGGUGCUGCAUGGCUGUCGUCAGCUCGUGUCGUGAGAUGUUGGGUUAAGUCCCGCAACGAGCGCAACCCUUGCCAAUAAUUGCCAUCAUUUAGUUGGGCACUUUAUUGGGACUGCCGAUGACAAAUCGGAGGAAGGUGGGGAUGACGUCAAGUCCUCAUGGCCCUUAUGGCCAGGGCUUCACACGUAAUACAAUGGUCGGUACAGAGGGUUGCCAAGCCGCAAGGUGGAGCCAAUCCCAGAAAGCCGAUCGUAGUCCGGAUUGAGGUCUGCAACUCGACCUCAUGAAGUCGGAAUCGCUAGUAAUCGCGGAUCAGCAUGUCGCGGUGAAUACGUUCCCGGGCCUUGUACACACCGCCCGUCACACCAUGGGAGUGGGUUUUACCAGAAGUAGGUAGUCUAACCGCAAGGAGGACGCUUACCACGGUAGUAUUCAUGACUGGGGUGAAGUCGUAACAAGGUAACC
rnacentral:rRNA from 1 species